rfam:Caenorhabditis brenneri strain PB2801 C_brenneri-6.0.1_Cont570.6, whole genome shotgun sequence.
AGCCUCGGUCCGGAGCCAAUGGGUUAUCGCAAACACGACUAAGUACCAUUGGCGACCACUUGACCGUUGU